rfam:Salmo salar isolate Sally breed double haploid chromosome ssa08, whole genome shotgun sequence.
UGUAUUCACUACUGUAAGUCGCUUUGGAUAAGAGCAUCUGCUAAAUGACUAAAA